GGGUCCGCGGCUGAUUAGCUAGUUGGUGAGGUAAUGGCUCACCAAGGCCAUGAUCAGUAGCCGGUCUGAGAGGACGGUCGGCCACGACUGGAACUGAGACACGGUCCAGACUCCUACGGGAGGCAGCACUGGGGAAUUUUUCGCAAUGGGGGCAAACCUGACGAAGCAAUGCCGCGUGGAUGAUGAAGUAUCUCGGUACGUAAAAUCCUUUCGACGGGGACGAA
rnacentral:rRNA from 1 species